AGGACGAACGCUGGCGGCGUGCUUAACACAUGCAAGUCGAGCGAGGCUCUUCCUUCGGGGAGAUGCCCUAGCGGCGAACGGGUGAGUAACACGUGGGCAACCUGCCCCUAGCACUGGGAUAACUCCGGGAAACCGGGGCUAAUACCAGAUAUGACCUUUGAGGGCAUCCUCUUUGGUGUAAAGGAUUCUGGCUAGGGAUGGGCCCGCGGCCUAUCAGCUUGUUGGUGGGGUAAUGGCCCACCAAGGCGACGACGGGUAGCCGGCCUGAGAGGGCGACCGGCCACACUGGGACUGAGACACGGCCCAGACUCCUACGGGAGGCAGCAGUGGGGAAUAUUGCACAAUGGGCGAAAGCCUGAUGCAGCGACGCCGCGUGAGGGAUGACGGCCUUCGGGUUGUAACCGUCUUUCAGCAGGGACGAAGCGAAAGUGACGGUACCUGCAGAAGAAGCACCGGCCAACUACGUGCCAGCAGCCGCGGUAA
rnacentral:rRNA from 1 species